CUAGUAUCUCUCUUCUCAAUAUCAAGGUAUUUCUCUCUUCUUUCGGCUUUUUAUCUUUUCGUCGUUUCGCUAUUGAAUUUGAUUAUUAUUUGUUACAUAUCUUUUGAUUCUCUGAAUGGUAUUAUCUGAUCGUCUGAGAAAUUCCAAUUCUCAAGUGGUUUGUGUUUUCCGUUGAUUUUGAUUUGUUGUUAUUGUAAUUGUAAUUGAUCCGUUGAUUUCUGUUCAUGGAUCCUAUUUGUUAUGUCUAUUUAUGUAUCUUGGUUUAUGGUUUUAAGAUUUAUGGAUGGUGGUUGAAAGGGAUGCUUAAAUUUUAGGGAUUGAUCUUUCUUUUGAUUCGACUCCUUUUUUUUAAAUACCUUAUUUUUUUCCUUGUUGUUAUUUUGAUCUUUUGGCGUUUAGUUUAAUGUUUGCUUUCUUUGAUAAAGUAACAAGGCCAUUGAUUUGAUAGAGCGAAUUAUGAUCUGAUGAAGCAGAUGCUUUUUCUAUGGACAUGUUUCCAGUUUUAUUUUGAAGUUUUAAUACGUAAAUUGUUCUAUGUUGCUCAAAAUUUCAACUGAUUGUUUGGCAAAGUUUUUCCUUUGUUUUGGAUAUUUGCUUUUGAAGAAUUUCUGUGUUAUAUCUUGUUACAGGUCUAUUAUGUCUUUCUUUUGCUGAAAGAACUAGGAUUGAUUUUACAAUAAGCUUGAAUUGAAAUUUUGUAUCUUUUUGAGACCUAAAGAGAACUCGACCAUACUUUAUUUUAUGGUAUACUAUGCUUUUUUAUUCUUAUAAUAGUGUAAUAAUUUUAUGAUACGACCGUGAUUAUUGAUUCCUGUAAUAGUGUUAUGCUGAAUUGUUGAAUUUUUUUUUGGUACCCAAAACUUCAUUAGAAAUUGUUUUUUAAGUCCUUAAUUUUUUGGUUAUUAAGGCUUUAAACUACUGUUUAAGUUUGCUUUCUUUCUGCUAAACAGAUGCAGAUCUUUGUGAAAACCCUCACUGGC
rnacentral:misc_RNA from 1 species